rnacentral:lncRNA from 1 species
GGGACUGAGGGUGCCUGUAGGAGCCGCAGCCGCCGCCGCUGCCGCCGCCGCCGCCGCCGCAGAGGAGGAGGAGGUGGAGGAGGUGGCCGCCGUGGCCGCCGAGGAGUCCCUUGCUGAAGGCGGACUGCCGGGCGGCGGGCGGCGCGCGCGCGCCCCAGAGGCGGUUGUUGGAGAAGUGGAGCGGCGGUCGCGGGGGGGAGGAGGAGGAGGAGGAGGGACUGAGUGGCGGCGGCCCCCGCGUCCCGGUGCCUCUAUGGGGAAAGCAGACAAUGGAUUAUGAUUUCAAGGCGAAGCUGGCGGCGGAGCGGGAGCGGGUGGAGGAUUUGUUUGAGUACGAAGGGUGCAAAGUGGGACGCGGCACCUACGGGCACGUCUACAAGGCGAGGCGAAAAGAUGGAAAAGAUGAAAAGGAAUAUGCAUUGAAGCAAAUUGAAGGCACAGGAAUAUCCAUGUCAGCUUGUAGAGAGAUUGCAGUAAGUGGAUAUAAAUAUAUUACUUAUUUUGUUGUUGAUAUUGGAUGAUGCUUGAUAUUAAUAUAAAAGCUUUGUUAAUGUAUACAAUGCAUGGUUAUUUCAAAGAUGUUAAUUAGUUUAAGGGUAUGUAAGAUGAGAAAAGCUGCAUAAACUUUUUAAUUAUUUGGAAGUCUUCUUUGAACAAUUCUC